rnacentral:tRNA from 1 species
GCUGGAAUCGUGUAGUGGCUAUCACAGGAGACUGUAAAUCUCCCGCCUAACGGCAUCGUAGGUUCGAGUCCUACUUCCAGCACCA